UACAGAGGGUGCAAGCGUUAAUCGGAAUUACUGGGCGUAAAGCGUGCGUAGACGGUUACAUAAGUCGGGUGUGAAAGCCCCGGGCUCAACCUGGGAAUUGCAUUCGAGACUACGUAGCUAGGGUGCGGAAGAGGGAAGCGGAAUUUCCGGUGUAGCGGUGAAAUGCGUAGAUAUCGGAAGGAACACCAGUGGCGAAAGCGGCUUCCUGGUCCAGCACCGACGUUCAGGCACGAAAGCGUGGGGAGCAAACAGGG
rnacentral:rRNA from 1 species